GAUUCUGCGGCUCAGUUGGUUGGAGCGCUGCCCCGGAAUCGCAGGGCUACAGGUUCGAUUCCUGCCAGGGACA